rnacentral:rRNA from 1 species
CGCGUAGGCGGUUUGGUAAGUCGGAUGUGAAAUCCCCGGGCUCAACCUGGGAAUUGCAUUCGAUACUGCUUGACUAGAGUAUGGUAGAGGGAAGUGGAAUUUCAGGUGUAGCGGUGAAAUGCGUAGAUAUCUGAAGGAACAUCAGUGGCGAAGGCGACUUCCUGGGCCAAUACUGACGCUGAGGUGCGAAAGCGUGGGGAGCAAACA